AUUCAUGCCUCACUGAUCACCACGGUACAGCGACCUAGCGUGCACGGGCUUUAUCUUAAGCUGUUGUUUCGGUGCUGGGCUAGGCCUUCAUUACUGUCGUUGUGCUCCUCACGCUCACUGCAUGCAACUCAUUACGCUGUUCAAAAUUAUCAUUUUGGCUCUGUAUGAAAUUGUUUAUUCUAAUUGAACGUGCGCAUUGUGUCAAAUUUAUUUGUAUUAACAAAGACAUCGUUACCAUUUACUACAAGAUCAACACCAAGAGGGGCAAUGUCUUCAAGAGUAGAAAGAGGCCCAGUGUUUUCGUAACCCUGUUCACUUAGGAAAGAGUUGCAGCUUUCAUCAAAGAAA